CUGUCUUAUUUAUAAAAGUUGAAUUUGACUUUUGAGUGAAAAGGCUUAAAUAUUAGAAAGGGACGAUAAGACCCUAUAAAACUUUAUAUAAAAUAAGUUUUUUAUUAUAGUUAUUUGUUUAGUACUAAAUAAGUUAUUAAUAUUUUAUUGGGGCGAUAGGAAUAUAAAUAGCUAACUGUUCUUUUAUUAUAACAAAUAUUAUUGUUUUUGAUGAUCCUCGGUAGAGAUUGAAAGGUAAAGUUACUUUAGGGAUAACAGCGUAAUUUUUUUUGAGAGUUCUUAUCGACAAAAGAGAUUGCGACCUCGAUGUUGAAUUAAAAUUUCUUUAUGGUGCAGGAGCUAUAUGAGAGAGUCUGUUCGACUUUUAAAUUUUUA
rnacentral:rRNA from 1 species